CGAUUUUGCAUUGUCAGCUAUUAUUUUGUCAUAUUAUGAGUGAAAUAGUGUAAUUUGGCUUUUUGUAACAAUAAUUUGUUAUGAAGAGAAGGGAACUCAGCUGACUUGGGGAGAAAAGAAGAAGAGGAAUCCCAGAAACAGAGAAAAAUGAAGCAGCCAACGGUCAUCUACAAAUUUGAAGUCCGAAGGAAAUGGCAUCAUUUGUUGUUGUCAACUCCUAUUUUACGUUUUAUUGAGUUGUAUUAGGAAAGCAGGCUUUUGGCGGUUUAAGAAAGUAGACGAGAAGAGGCAGAAGGGUGUGAACGAUUUGUGCGUGGUUUCCAUAUUUCUUCUCUGACCUCAGUUUCUUUUUCUUCUUCUUCAAAAUCUACCUUUUUAAUUUUUGUUAAAUUCUCACUGUGAUAGACACUUUGUCUCAAAAUUAAUCAUUGGGUGUUGAGUUUUGUUUAAUUUCUGAUUUAUCACUGUGUUUGAUUGUGUCCCAGGUUGAGAAUUGAAGCUCAACUAUAACAUUUGGCAUCAAAGUAGCAACGUGACUUGGGUAUGGCUGAAACUAGGAGUAAAUCUAAUGAGGAACACCUUAAGAAGCUAGACAAGGAAAUAUCAGACUUGGGUAUUGAUGCGAACAUCCAUUUACUAUUUAUUUUCUAUUUGGACUAUUAGUUAUAUUCUAUUUGGAUUAUUAUUUAUAUUUCUAUUAUUGAGCUUGUUUAGCAGGUUUGACCCA
rnacentral:lncRNA from 1 species